UCGUAUGGCAGAGUCAAGCUGGAAUAAGCGCUGAUUAACGAGUGACAACUGAUCAAGGGCUGAACGGAUGGAACCUUCAUGCUGGGACAAGAUACCUGCCAUAGCUGCAGGGAGUGAUUCUUCAGUGAGGGUGUUUGUGUGGCCGGUUGAUUCUGUCAUGUUGUGGGUAAUGUAUUUCACCCAGGACAUGAAGAAUCACACGAGAGAAGAGGUAAAUAAAAAUACAAGUGUUUUUAUUUUGAAUGUGAACAGAAAAAAACUAGAACUAAGGGCGCUGCUUCUAUGAACAGGAACAGGAUGGUACCGGAAUCUAUGAAGAUAAAAACAGAAGCCAGGAUUUGAACGGAGACAAGACUGGAAGUGGUUGGACCGGGUGAGAUGGUUCUGAGCGUGGGCAGGCGGGCAGGUGUGGAGAAUGGAGACCGGAGGAUCCUUGAGUGGCGAGACGUGAGACAACUCCAGGCAAGCUCCACCACAGUAGUUGGUCCCCCUCCAACUACUCCGCAACAUGACAGCGGCGAGCCAUGACCAAGCUGUCCUGCGAUGUCUGCCGUGCCAGCCUGGUGAUGGAUGCUGCAUCUGCCUGUGAUGACCAGAGCUACCAUUUUCUGACUCUGAAGAACAACAUGGGUCUUGUGGUCCCAUCUAAAGGUGCUGUGAGGGUCAUCAGAGCAGCAGAGUGGGCAAUUCGCCAGGCAACAGUGGGCAGACGAUCACAGCCCAUCAAACCACUGGAGGUCAUCUACAUUGUGCGCAAGAGGAUGUGUUUUUGCUUGGGGAGGACAUCAGUGAGACACAGCACAGAAUUGAGUCUCACUCCCAUACACUGUUGACAUUUAUUGUCUCCCUGUUCUUUAAGCUGAGGAUGCACCACAUUACAAGAUUAGCAACUCUUAGCUUUCAGUGUGACAGCUUGAGACAGAAGCUCACAAAAGCUGUCCUUUUCAAAGGUCAGUAGGAAAUCACAAUGUGCUUUAGCAUCUGUCAGUGGAUCUGUUAUUCUUAUAAUCAAAAACAUGUAUAAUCUAAUAAACAAGUUUUUCAUAA